rnacentral:tRNA from 1 species
CGGGCUGUGGCGCAGUUUGGCAGCGCGCUUCGUUCGGGACGAAGAGGUCGCCGGUUCAAAUCCGGCCAGCCCGACCA